ACUUAAGUAGCUUAUAAUUAGAGUUUAAUAUUGAAGAUAUUAAGGAAAUAAUAUUUAUUCUUAAGUA
rnacentral:tRNA from 1 species